rnacentral:lncRNA from 1 species
CCACCACACUUUUAUCACGUUUAAUAUAAUUUGGCUAGCAACGAACAUGUAAACGUUAUCCAAUGAUAUUUUUAUACAUAUGGCCAUGAAAUGGGCACAAUGAUUUGAUCAUUCAUAAGCCAUAAUCUAUAAACAAGAUUUUAACAUCAUAAACUAGAAAUUUCUUUCUUUUUUGAAAACAAAAUCUUGAAUUUGCACAGGUUACCAAGAAAUCAUUGUACUACUUUCCGAAGAAGUCAACAAUUGUUCAAGAUAACCAUCCCCCAAGUCCUCAAAAACCACUAAAUUCUUUUCUUCUGCCGAACAAACAACUUUUUUAUUUUUUCGGCUCACCGGUCUCUUCCUCCUGGAGUAGCGUUUCUUCAUCGUCACAACGGGCGAACACCCUUCUUCGAACCCAUAUUUCAUCUCUUGCAACGACUCCUUCACUCUAUCCGCAGGAAAGUUCAAAACAGCCGCGGUCCCUCUCAUUGAAAACGCGGCUUGAUCAUAAGCCAUGGCAGCCGCCUCAGCGCUAUCAAACGUUCCAAGCCACACCCGAAUUCCAUGUCGAGUAGAAUCUCUUAUCUCGGCUGCGAAUUUCCCCCACGGACGCCUUCUUACUCCCCUAUAGGCCUUCUCCUUCUCGGGUUUCUCCAAUUUGGAACCCGAGGUUACUUCUUCUUCUUUGACGGUUGAGGAAUCGGAUUCUGAUGAUUGAUCAACUAUUGUUGGGCCAUGGUUGGCUGCCAACAUGUCGAAAAGAAGCAUUUCUUCGGAAUCAUUGAGAUUAAACGGGAGCGAAUUGUCGUGGAACAGGAGUUCAUCCCAUGAUUCGGGCGAGUAAUCAAAGGUGGGGUGGAUCAAAGAAAAGAGUGUGGCCUUUAUAUACUAGGAUGAUCUUGAUGUUCUAGACACAUUUGUUACUAAAAAUGGUGUGAUUGGUGGAUUAUUUAAUGUUGUGUGUUUUAAUAAAUGUGAUGGUUUUUUAUUUCAAGUUGUAAUAUAUUUCACUUUUAACUUUUAGAAAAAAGCCUGAUUAUUGUAUGUAAUUGUAUUGGUUUCACGUGACACUAGUAGAAAAGUUUCGUGU